rnacentral:rRNA from 1 species
GGAAUAUUGGUCAAUGGACGGAAGUCUGAACCAGCCAAGUCGCGUGAAGGAAGACGGUUCUAUGGAUUGUAAACUUCUUUUGCUCGAGGGUAAAGUGUGGUACGUGUACCAUAUUGCAAGUAUCGAGUGAAUAAGCAUCGGCUAACUCCGUGCCAGCAGCCGCGGUAAUACGGAGGAUGCGAGCGUUAUCCGGAUUUAUUGGGUUUAAAGGGUGCGUAGGCGGGCUUUUAAGUCAGCGGUGAAAGUUUGCGGCUCAACCGUAAAAUUGCCGUUGAUACUGGAGGUCUUGAGUAUAGACGAGGUAGGCGGAAUGUAACGUGUAGCGGUGAAAUGCUUAGAUAUGUUACAGAACUCCGAUUGCGAAGGCAGCUUACCAGACUAUGACUGACGCUGAGGCACGAAAGCGUGGGUAUCAAACA